AUGUGCGUGUUACUGAGGUGAAAGCCGAGGGACCAUAUCUUCGGAUGUGGAGCGUACACAGGUGCUGCAUGGCUGUCGUUAGCUCGUGUCGUGAGAUGUUGGGUUAAGUCCCGCAACGAGCGCAACCCUGCAUUCAGUUGCCAACGGUAAGGCCGGGCACUCUGGAUGGACUGCCGGCGACAAGCCGGAGGAAGGUGGGGAUGACGUCAAGUCAUCAUGGCCCUUAUGUCCAGGGCGACACACGUGCUACAAUGGCCGGCACAGCGGGAAGCGAGGGGGCGACCUUGAGCGGAUCCCUCAAAGCCGGUCUCAGUUCGGAUUGCAGUCUGCAACUCGACUGCAUGAAGUUGGAAUCGCUAGUAAUCGUGGAUCAGCCAAGCCGCGGUGAAUACGUUCCCGGGCCUU
rnacentral:rRNA from 1 species